rnacentral:rRNA from 1 species
GAUGAACGCUGGCGGCGUGCCUAAUACAUGCAAGUCGAGCGAACGGACGAGAAGCUUGCUUCUCUGAUGUUAGCGGCGGACGGGUGAGUAACACGUGUAUAACCUACCUAUAAGACUGGUAUAACUUCGGGAAACCGUAUCUAAUACCGGAUAAUAUUUUGAACCGCAUGGUUCAAAAGUGAAAGACGGUCUUUCUGUCUCUUAUAGAUGGUUCUGCGCUGCAUUAGCUAGUUGUUAAGGUAACGGCUUACCAAGGCAACGAUGCAUAGCCGACGUGAGAGGGUGAUCGGCCACACUGGAACUGAGACACGGUCCAGACUCCUACGGGAGGCAGCAGUAGGGAAUCUUCCGCAAUGGGCGAAAGCCUGACGGAGCAACGCCGAGUGAGUGAUGAAGGUCUUCGGAUCGUAAAACUCUGUUAUUAGGGAAGAACAUAUGUGUAAGUAACUGUGCACAUCUUGACGGUACCUAAUCAGAAAGCCACGGCUAACUACGUG